rnacentral:misc_RNA from 1 species
UGCUGAUAACUCCAGUUUUAUAUCAAACAGACGUAGAUUAUACCUUCAAGUGAGAAAAUCGAUGAAUCAUUCAAGAGUCAGGCAUUGAAAAUCCUUAAUUGAGGAAUUUGGAUCCAAAGGGAAAGUAAAUAGAAUCUAAAACCCUAGUUUGAAGGAAGCAAAAGGAGGCCUUGAAGAAUAAGAAAAAAAACCCAGGGAGAGAAUUAUAGAGAAAAAAAAAAAAGUCAGUUUUGAGAGGGG